rnacentral:rRNA from 1 species
GAUGAACGCUAGCGGCAGGCCUAACACAUGCAAGUCGAGGGGCAGCAUAAAAUAAACUUGUUUAUUUGGUGGCGACCGGCGCACGGGUGCGUAACGCGUAUGCAACCUACCUUAUACUGGGGAAUAGCCCGAAGAAAUUCGGAUUAAUGCCCCAUAGUACUGAGACCUUUCCUGAGGAUUCAGUUAAAGCUUUGGCGGUAUAAGAUGGGCAUGCGUCCAAUUAGCUAGAUGGUGAGGUAACGGCUCACCAUGGCGACGAUUGGUAGGGGGCCUGGGAGGGUGGUCCCCCACACUGGUACUGAGACACGGACCAGACUCCUACGGGAGGCAGCAGUGAGGAAUAUUGGUCAAUGGGCGCAAGCCUGAACCAGCCAUGCCGCGUGAAGGAUGAAGGUUCUAUGGAUUGUAAACUUCUUUUAUUUGGGAAUAAACCUCUUUACGUGUAGAGAGCUGAAGGUACCAAAUGAAUAAGCACCGGCUAACUCCGUGCCAGCAGCCGCCGUAAAAC